rnacentral:rRNA from 1 species
UACGUAGGGGGCCAGCGUUGUCCGGACUUACUGGGCGUAAAGCGCGCGCAGGCGGUCGUGUAUGUGCCGUGUGAAAGCGCCGGGCUCAACUGGGGAGGGUCACGCGAUACUGCUCGACUUGAAGGCAGGAGAGGGAAGUGGAAUUCCCGGUGUAGUGGUGAAAUGCGUAGAUAUCGGGAGGAACACCUGUGGCGAAAGCGGCUCACUGGACCACAACUGACGCUGAUGCGCGAAAGCUAGGGGAGCAAACAGG